AGCCAGUAUAUCAUGUGACCAAGUCUGGCAAGUCACGUGACGAGGAAGAAAUGGUAGCCCGGCCUCAGGAAAGCUUUUAUCUCUGGCGGAGCUCCUGGUAACCUUGGCGAUGCGCUCUCAGCAGCCGAGGAUUGAAAUUAUGUCAUUUUUCUCUCAGAUACCUUAGUCUCGGGUGGUGUCCUGUGAUGGAGACGUGGGUCCUCUCUUACCAUGUCUGGCUGGCGGCGCCCCAGAUGCCAUGUGACGACCAUUUGAAGACAGGCCUGUCGGACAUCAGGGUCUGAGUGAAGGGGGACAUGGAGGGUAGAGGUUGUACCUUGAAGACCGGGUGCAGCCCCGGGAGGCACCUCAUGGUGGCCACAGCAAUGACCUCAGCCAGCAGGUGUGCAGCAUUAUAACUCUGGAAGCUCUGAGUACGUGGGCAGGGUUGUGGACACACGGACCUCACACAGGGAAACUGGUUCUCACUGCUGUGGCCUCUCCCGUUGCGGAGCACAGGCUCCGGACACGCAGGCUCAGCGGCCACGGCUCACGGGCCCAGCCGCUCCGCGGCAUGUGGGAUCUUCCCGGACCGGGGCACGAACCCGCAUCCCUUGCAUCGGCAGGCGGACUCUCAACCACUGCGCCACCAGGGAAGCCCAGCACACUGUUUUUAUUAGUGUGGCUUUGUAGUUUUGUCUGAAGUCUGAAAGGCUAUGCUUCCAGCUUUGUUCUUUUCCCUCAGGAUUUGCUUUGGCAAUUCUGGGCCUUUUGUGGUUCCAUAUAAAUGUGAGAAUUAUUUGUUCUAGUUCUGUGAAAAAUGUCAUGGGUAGUUUGAUAGGGAUUGCAUUAAACCUGUAGAUUUCCACAUUGAGUGGAAAGUAGGAAUCUGUUUUUUGAACGGAAAUUCUUAAGAGCUCGCGAAGUUCCAGGGCUUCACGGUAGCUGGGCUCCUGUUCCAAUGAACUUGUGGUAAUAAGUUCAAUAUAACCAAUAAGCCAGUAGCCUAUAACCAAGUGUAAAUUAGUAUCCAUCAAAAGUCCAUGAGUGAUAUAUUUUGCUUUAAAUCAUAAGGCUGUAAAUUACAGGUUUUAUAUACCUGUAUCUUUUACUCUGCCAUUUCCACACCACAGUUGCUGUUGUUUUCAAUACAGUAUCUCUAAAAAAUGUCCGUAUUACUUUUGGCAUCCUUAAAGCAUGACUUAGGAACUGUUCACACUGAGCUCACCAUCACUUCUUCUCUUUAAGGACAGUGCAAACCAAAGUGACACAAUCGGUGCCCUUCGAAAUCAGCAGGGCUUGACAGCCCCUUGGAUUUCAUUGAUGAGCUACUGAAUGGCUUGGCAGCCAUCUUCAAAUCCAAAGGAUUUCAUUCUUUCCAAAUUCACAAGCAGAAUUUCUUUACUACCAAGUUUCCCGAAAAUGGUGUGUGAGUACCUGUCAGUCCAUCACUUACAGGAAGGUUUCUGAGGUAGUCCCUAGUCUUUUCUAUCCUAUUUCUGGUUUCAGAAGACUGGUUUUGGGUGACUGUCCCUCACGGAGGGCCCUCCUGUGGCCCAGGAGGCUGCUAUAUUACCACUGUGGGCGUGAGAGAAACUGUUGGUUUCCAGGCCCAUGUUCUUGUAAAGUCUUCCCUUAGAAUGGGGACUUUAAACUUAGAUUCUACAGCAAAGGUGUUUUUUUUUUUAACUUAUCUCCAUGAUAUCAUUUUAUUUAUUUAUUUAAUUUAUUUUUUAAACAUCUUUUUGGAGUAUAAUUGCUUUACAAUGGUGUGUUAGUUUCUGCUUUAUAACAAAGUGAAUCAGUUAUACAUAUACGUAUGUCCCCAUAUCUCUUCCCUCUUGCAUCUCCCUCCCUCCCACCCUCCCUAUCCCACCCCUCUAGGUCAUCACAAAGCACCGAGCUGAUCUCCCUGUGCUAUGUGGCUGCUUCCCACUAGCUAUCUAUUUUACGUUUGGUAGUGAAUAUAUGUCCAUGCCUCCCUCUCACUUUGUCACAGCUUACGCUUCCCCCUCCCCAUAUCCUCAAGUCCGUUCUCUAGUAGGUCUGUGUCUUUAUUCCCUUCUUGCCCCUAGGUUCUUCAUGACCAUUUUUUUUAGAUUCCAUAUAUAUGUGUUAGCAUACGGUAUUUGUUUUUCUUUUUCUGACUUACUUCACUCUGUAUGACAGACUCUAGGUCCAUCCACCUCACUACAAAUAACUCAAUUUCGUUUCUUUUUAUGGCUGAGUAAUAUUCUAUUGUAUAUAUGUGCCACAUCUUCUUUAUCCGUUCAUCUGUUGAUGGACACUUAGGUUGCUUCCAUGUCCUGGCUAUUGUAAAUAGAGCUGCAAUGAACAUUUUGGUACAUGACUCUUUUUGAAUUAUGGUUUUCUCAGGGAAUAUGCCCAGUAGUGGGAUUGCUGGGUCAUAUGGUAGUUCUAUUUUUAGUUUUUUAAGGCACCUCCAUACUGUUCUCCAUAGUGGCUGUAUCAAUUUACAUUCCCACCAGCAGUGCAAGAGGGUUCCCUUUUCUCCACACCCUCUCCAGCAUUUAUUGUUCGUAGAUUUUUUGAUGGCCAUUCUGACCGGUGUGAGGUGAUAUCUCAUUGUAGUUUUGAUUUGCAUUUCUCUAAUGAUUAAUGAUGUUGAGCAUUCUUUCAUGUGUUUGUUCGCAAUCUGUAUAUCUUCUUUCGAGAAAUGUCUGUUUAGGUCUUCUGCCCAUUUUUGGAUUGGGUUUUUUGGUUUUUUUGAUAUUGAGCUGCAUGAGCUGCUUGUAAAUUUUGGAGAUUAAUCCUUUACAGCAAAGGUUUUUAACCUGGGGUCCAAACACCCUCUGUUCAUGGUUGAGUUUUAGUGUGUCUGUGAAUCCCUUGAAAUUGCAAAUAAAUUUCCAUAAAUGUGAUUUUUCUGGAGGAAGCGUUCUUAACUUUCAUCAGAUUCUUCAGAAAUGGGUGUCCCUAAAAGGCUAAGAGCCACUGGUCUGUCCUGUCUCUGACCUUGAUCUAACUUGAUACACACGGUUCCUUGUUUGUAUUUCUAACCAGUAGAGUAUGAAUUGAUUUUGCCAAGGCCUUAACAUUUCCUACCAUUCUGUGUGUCUCUC